AGUGAACGCUGGCGGUAGGCCUAACACAUGCAAGUCGAACGGCAGCACAGUAAGAGCUUGCUCUUACGGGUGGCGAGUGGCGGACGGGUGAGGAAUACAUCGGAAUCUACUUUUUCGUGGGGGAUAACGUAGGGAAACUUACGCUAAUACCGCAUACGACCUACGGGUGAAAGCAGGGGAGCUUCGGACCUUGCGCGAUUGAAUGAGCCGAUGUCGGAUUAGCUAGUUGGCGGGGGAAAGGCCCACCAAGGCGACGAUGCGUAGCUGGUCUGAGAGGAUGGUCAGCCACACUGGAACGGAGACACGGUCCAGACUCCUACGGGAGGCAGCAGUGGGGAAUAUUGGACAAUGGGCGCAAGCCUGAUCCAGCCAUACCGCGUGGGUGAAGAAGGCGUUCGGGUUGUAAAGCCCUUUUGUUGGGAAAGAAAAGCAGCAGGUUAAUACCCCGCUGUUCUGACGGUACCCAAAGAAUAAGCACCGGCUAACUUCGUG
rnacentral:rRNA from 1 species